UGCAAGUCGCGUGCGCAGUUCCGUAGCAAUACGGGAUGGGCGCACGGCGCACGGGUGCGUAACACGUGGGCAAUCUGCCCUCUGAUGGGGAAUAACCCGCCGAAAGGCGGGCUAAUUCCGCAUAAGAUUCCCGGGACUUCGGUUCUGGGAUUGAAAGCAGUAAUGCGUCGGAGGAGGAGCCCGCGCCCGAUUAGCUAGUUGGUGAGGUAACGGCUCACCAAGGCAAUGAUCGGUAGCUGGUCUGAGAGGAUGAUCAGCCACACUGGAACUGAGACACGGUCCAGACUCCUACGGGAGGCAGCAGUGGGGAAUCUUGCACAAUGGGCGAAAGCCUGAUGCAGCGACGCCGCGUGGGGGAUGAAGCAUUUCGGUGUGUAAACCCCUUUCGACUGGGAAGAAUGCCUCGCAAGAGGAGUGACGGUACCAGUAGAAGAAGCCCCGGCUAACUACGUGCCAGCAGCCGCGGUAAGACGUAGGGGGCCAGCGUUGUUCGGAAUUACUGGGUGUAAAGGGUUCGUAGGCGGUGCGGCAAGUUGGGAGUGAAAUCUCUGGGCUUAACCCAGAGGCUGCUUCCAAAACUGCUGUGCUCGAGUGUGGGAGAGGCGCGUGGAAUUGCAGGUGUAGCGGUGAAAUGCGUAGAUAUCUGCAGGAACACCCGUGGCGAAAGCGGCGCGCUGGACCACUACUGACGCUGAGGAACGAAAGCUAGGGGAGCAAACAGGAUUAGAUACCCUGGUAGUCCUAGCCCUAAACGAUCAGGACUUGGGGUGCCGCCCGUUCGGGCGUCGUCCCGGAGCUAACGCGUUAAGUCCUGCACCUGGGGAGUACGUCGCAAGACUGAAACUCAAA
rnacentral:rRNA from 1 species